CGCGGUAUUUUGACCGUGCGAAGGUAGCAUAAUCAUUAGUCUUUUAAUUGGAGGCUUGUAUGAAAGGUUGGACGAGAAGUUAGCUGUCUUUAUUAAAAAAAUAGAAUUUAACUUUUAAGUGAGAGGGCUUAAAUAUUCUAAAGGGACGAUAAGACCCUAUAAAGUUUGACAUCUUAUUAUUAGAGAGUGAAGUAAGUAGAUAAAAUUAGUUAGUAAAAAUGUUGUUUUGUUGGGGAGACUGGAAUAUAAAUGAUGUAACUGUUUUUAUAUUGACACAAAAAUGUUUGAGACUUUAGGUUGAACCUUGUUAAAGAUAAGAGAAUAAAUUACUUUAGGGAUAACAGCGUAAUUUUUUUUGAGAGUUCUUAUCGACAAAAAAGUUUGCGACCUCGAUGUUGAAUUAAGGGUGCUUUAUAGCGCAGAGGUUAUAAAAGAAGGUCUGUUCGACCUUUAA
rnacentral:rRNA from 1 species